GCUUUAUCACUUCUGCCCGCAUGUACAAAGAUUGAAGUACAAAUUGACAUCUUUCUUGGAUGGAGAAUUACAAUAAAAUGAAAUAACUCAAAUAAGGAAAGAAAAAGCUGUAGUGGUUUCGAUACUUUUCUUGAGCAAAAGCAGAUACUUCCAUUAUCUUGAAGAUCAAACAAAAGCUAUAUAUUGACAGCAAUAGUACAAAAGGCUUCCUAUCCUACCACUAAACUUUCUUUAAACUAGAACUUAAAGUUUAGUUUGGUCAUAUGAUUGCAUCAACUAUUAUAGCAGAAAUAUGCAGCUGCGCAAGUUCAGUUCAUGAUUUUGCUCACUUAGGGUUCUAAGACAAAUCUUGAACGCUCAGAAUUAGUUAUGGUUCAAAAUGGGAACUUUCUUAUUAUGGCAGCAUGAGAAGAAUGCACCCAUUAUUAGCAGCGUACCUAGGACCUCUUUUUUGCAUUAUAGCAGACCAUGAGCUGCAGGCUUCCACUUCAUUACCGAAGCGUCCCUAAGGAAUUGCUUCAUCAAGCUUGCAGUUGCAGCAUGUGCAAGCGAUUUGUCAUGCUCUUGUUGUUCCUUGGUUGCUUCUAACUUUGACGUUAGUUCCUUUAUAUCCUUGGAAAUUUGUUCUAUUUCUUGAUUUUUCUCAACAGAGGUGUGAUCUGUGUACUUUCUCGCCUGAAGAACAAAGUGGGCACGUACAACUCGCUUCAGAUGAUCAAUAAUGAACUGAAUUCUGAACCCUGCAAGCUGCACAAAUUUUAAGCAUGCCCACCACUCCUGAAGUAUACCUUCAGUUAUGUCUACAACUUUGGUUGUUCGCAUGCGGUGUAUGACACUGCAUAGGAAGCAAAAAAUGAUCGACUUCAAUUUGGGACUCAACGUGGACUUGGCACUGACAUCCCCGUACUUAUCAAACAAAUUUUGAAAAGUAGGGACAAGCGUGCGAGAGACGAAGUAAUCCCCAACAGUGACAAAUUCUUCAUCAUGUUCUGAGACGAAAUCUGGAAUAUCAUCAUUCAAAAUGGCAGAAUCGAGCCUAUCCAUGAACUGCGUAAAUGCCUCUUCUGAGUAUGGAAAAGUACCUUGAUCCUUGCAUUCAAGUGAUGCCUUUCCUCUAUUUUGUAUAGCUGUUGCAAUAUCAUUGAGUUCUAUCUGCUCAGUUGUAUCUAAAGAAUCAACUAUAUCAUCCAAUGACUUUGGUAUGACCUUUACUUUUUCCGCCAGAGCAACCUUUUCUGUCUCAUUUCGCUCCAUUUCUUUAACUUCCAAAUCUUUACUAAACACCUUACUAGUCAUGUGUCUACCUACGGUUCUCAAUUCCACAUCUCCUCGCUCUCCCCUUAGUGAUGCCACAACCUGGCAAAGAACACAUGAUCAAAUCAAACAGCAGAGCUUGGUGAUGUCUACUGAGGGGUUAAUCUUUGAAAAUAAGAUAGUGAUGUUAACAUACCUCGGAAAUCACACACUUCACAUCACAUACCAUAGGGCAACCUUGUGCACAAUAAUAAACACAGAGUCGUGGGUCCCUUCUUUCUUCACAAGCAUCACAAUAAAAUUCAUCAUCUUCAUCUUCAUCCUCAACAUAAAAAUCCUUGAGGGUGAGUGGAUCUACAUGGCAUUUAUGUUUAAUGGUGCAGGGUAAUGGACCACAUAUAAGGUGGAGAUCAAAAUUGCAUUCCAUGCAACGGAAUGCAGAGGAGCCCCUGCAAGAGCUAUAACAAGCAUCACAUUGAAGUUCACCAUGUAUGUUCUCCACAACAGUAAGAAGAUGAUUGUGACCCUGAUAUUUUACAGUGGGCUUGAGGGAAGCACAUUCAACAUCUACUAUGAAACUGCAUUUUUUGCAGCAGAAGGCAAAGUAACUGCAAGCCUUGAGACAUAAAUUGCAUUUUACUGUUUCUGACUUUUGAGAGGCCAUGUUCAGCAGAGUGAGAGGGUGCUCUGGAUGAAAAGGAUUCUGGAUCUCUUGUGGCAAUUGUGCACAUGAUUUGUGUAAAAAGAAAUUGCACUUACUACAACCAUAGGCAUUGCCCCGGCAGCAUUCUCCACAUUCAUAGCAAUAAGCUUCAUCAGUAGCUUUCUUUUCACUGAAUAUCAGUGGAUGGCCAUGGAAGAAAUGCUGAAUUUUUGUAUGGCCACCGGAUUCUACAGUAGGCAGUAGGGCACAUUCGAGACAUAUCUGGAAAUAACACUCACCACAGCGAAAUGUCAAGCCCGAGCAAUCCUUGCCACAGCCAUCACAUUUAUAAGAUGGCGUUGUGAGUAGAACAAGUGGGCAUUCAUGAAAUAAGUGUUGAAUCUUUCUAUGUAAAGCUUCCAUGCAAGAUUUAUGGAGGUAGAAUUUACAUUGGCUGCAACCAUAGAUGGAACUCAAACAGAACUUCCCACAUAUUCCACAGCAAGUUUCAAAAUCUUUCAACUGUUCAUAGAGGGUCAAAGGGUGCCAAUGACUGAAAUGUUGAAUUUGAUCCUUUUCACUUUCAGUAUUUAGUGUAGGAAUCAGGGCGCAUUCAAUAUCCAGACUAAAAACACAUGUCCUACAGUAAUACCUAAAGGUCGAAUGCUGUCUAUAGCAAGCAUUACAAGUAAAGGUGGGGGAUAUUCUAAGGAAGAGAGGGCAUGGGUGAAAGAAAUUUUGAAUCUCUCGUGGAACCUCAAAAGGUCUAUUAGAAUUCAUUGUAGACAUUAAAGAACAAUUGACACAUAGAUGGAAGUAACACUUGCCACAGCGGAAGGUGAAGCCAGAGUAGUGUUGGUGACAAGCAUCACACUGAUAAGAAACAUUUGCUAGUAGAAUAAGAGGACACGGAUGAAAUGAGGGUGGAAUCUUCCGAGGCAAAAUCUCCAUACAAGAUUUAUGGAGAAAAAAAUUACACUGGCUGCAACUACAGGUUGAACUUGAGCACAGCUGAUCACAUAUUUUGCACCUAACCUCUUCAAUAUCUUCUAUCUUCCCCUGAAUUGUCAAAGGAUGCAAAUGACUAAAGUGUUGAACCUGCUCUUUUUCACCUUCAGAAUUUAUAGUGGGAAUGUUGGCGCACUCAAUAUCUAUAUUAAACUCACAUUUUUCACAGUAAUAUGCGAAGCCAGAGCGAAGCCCACAGCAAGCAUUACACAUAAAUACAUAUGAUACCCUUAGGAAGAGAGGGCAAUGGUGAAUGAAAUGUUGGAUUUCCAAUGGGAGUCUGGAAUGGCCUUCGGACUUUUCUGUAGAAGUUACAAAACAAUCUAAACACAGAUGGAAAUAGCACUUACCACAGCGAAAGGUCAAGCCAGAAUGCUCUUUGUCACAAGAGCCACAGCGAUAUUGCUGAGUUGUAAGCAAAGUGACUGGGCAAGAAUGGAACGAGGCUUGAAUCUUUUGAGGCAAAAAUUCCAUACAAGAUAUAUGGAGAUAAUAGUUGCAUUGGCUGCAACCACAGGCCUGAGUGAAGCAGAGCUUUUUGCAUAUUUUACAGAAAGACUUGUGAUCUUCGAUAUCUCUAAAGAGAGUCAAAGGAUGGCGAUGACUGAAAUGCUGGAUAUUUUUUUCUUGCCCAUCGGAUUUUAUAGCUGGAAGUUGAGAGCAUUUGACAUCCAUAUUGAAUUCACAUGGUUCACAACUGUAAAUAAAGCCUGAUGUUUCUUCAUAGCAAGCAUUACACCUAGAAACAGGAGCAAUUCUGAGGAGGAGAGGGCAUGGAUGGAAGAAAUGUUCGAUCUGUUUUGGAAGCUGGGUGCAGGAUUUGUGGAGGAAAUAUAUACAAAGGCUACAACCGUAGGUCUGACCUGAGAUGGGUUCUCUACAUCCCAUGCAUAUCUCCUCAUUCGCCUUCUCAUAAAGCUUCAAUGGGUGUUGGUGCAAGAAAUCGAUCUCCAUUUCUGUUUGUUAUUCUUUGCAAGAAAUUAAGCUUCUUUUUUUCCUGGGAUUGAUCGGGGAUAGCACCGCUGCUGGGUAGUUUGGUAACUAUUGAAGCUCUUUCUUUCCCACUUUCCCAAGUCAAGACAAAGUCUUUGCCAUAUAUAUAUUAUAUAUAUAUUUCUUGUGCUCUCU
rnacentral:misc_RNA from 1 species